GUGCUACAGAGGGCAGAGCUGGUGUGACUCAAGCCCUUUGGAGGAGCCCACAAGAGCAUAUGUGGAUCCCAGACAUUGGAACAAGAAACUGUAAUGCUGAAAUUGCCUUGGAUCCCCCAAGAUGUUUGAGAUGCUAGAUCCAUAGGAUAUCUGCCAAGGAAAGCUGAGUUAGCCCAAGAGAAUGAAGUUUGUUGCUGCUGUGUGCCAGAUUUGUCAACAGCAGUCAACAAGGAUGAAAGGAAUUGGAGAUUUGAAAAGUUCUUUGACAUUGGAAAUGGAGACAUGGAGUUUGGAGUUUGUCCAGCUGGUUUUUGGUAUGGUAUUGGCCUAUUACUUCCUCACUAUGAUGUUUAGGGGUGGUAAUGUAUGUCCUGUAAUGUUGGAGGUAUGUGAUCUGCUUUUUGAUUUUUUUAUUUAGUAGGAUAGUACAGUUAAGGGAUUACAAAAUCAGAAGAGACUUUGAACUUUGGACUUUUAACAUUGUGGAGACUGUUAUAGAUUUUGGGACUUUGGAAGUUGGACUAAAUGUAUUUUGCACUAUGCUAUGGCUAAGUAUGGCCCCCAUAGACUCAUGUGUUUGAACAAGUCUUUGGGGACUAGGGAAUGGAAUGUGGUGGCUUGAAUAUGCUUGGCCCAUAGAGAGUAGUACUGUUAGGAGAUGUGACCUUGUUGGAGGAAGUGUGUUACUGUGGGGGUGGGCUUUGAAGCUCCACACAGUUUGGAAGAGUCAGCUUCUCCUGGCUGCAGUCAGAUCAACAUGCUCUCCCAGCUCCUCCUGCACCAUGCCUGCCUAUUCCUUGACAUGCUCCUACUUUGAUGAUUAUGGACUGAACCUCUGAACCUGUAAGCCAGCCCCAAUUAAAUGUUGUGCUUAUGAGAGUUGUCUUGGUCAUGGUGUCUCGUCACAGCAAUGGGAACCAUAACUAGUACACUAUCUCUUCUAAGUUCUGUAGUUACUGGCUUCUAGUGUCUGUGGACUUUUAAAUUGUUUCUUGGUCUGGAGAGAUGGCUCAGUGGUUAAGAGCACUGGCUGCUCUUCUAGAGGUCCUGAGUUCAAUUCCCAACAACCACAUGGUGGCUCACAACCAUCUAUAAUGAGAUCUGAUGCCUUUUUCUGGCAUGCAGAUAGAGCAAUCAUAUAAAUAAAAUAAAAUAAAAUAAAAUAAAUAAAUAUAUAAGUCUUUUAAAAAAUAAAAAAAUUGUUUCUUCUUUGAGCUCUCAAAUGCCUGUUCAUAGACAAUUAUAAUUCUGAUCUUCCUGGUUCUGUUGAGCCAUUUUUCUCCUAGUGUCCCAUUUUGGCUUUGAUUUUCGAGGCUAUUGUAUUUCAUAGACAAAUGGGCCAGGUCUUUUUGUUUCACCUUAUUCUUGGACAGUGUUUCUUGAAGUCAAUUCCAAAGAGUUAGAGAUGAAGGAUCACAUUUCUCACCCAAGGCUGUGGAUAGACUCUGGGCAUGGCUGGUUACACACUGAAGGCAGGCUCGUUCAGCUUUCCUACAUAGCUGGCUUCCAGGAAUAGUGAUCUUUCCUUAUUUGUUGGCUCUGAGAGACUCACCACCUCAAUUUGGCCCUGAAAAUGGCAAGAGACCAACAUGCAGAUCUGUCUGGACCUGUUUCUGUUUUACAGGCAGUACCCCUAUCAGCCAUGUGCAGCCAAGCCCAAGUUCAUGUUGUGGGCAGCAGACAAUGCAGAGGGGAAUCCUAACUACAAGUGUGUUAGACAUGGCUCUAAGUUGUAGAAGUGCAUCCACGAGCUGCCACACAGAGCCUCGUAAGCUACCUCAGUUACAUGUUUUCCCUUGCACAAGUUAGUUAGGGUCCCUCUAGUGCAUUUAAAAUUAAGCAUGCUCUGAGCAAGUAUAUGCAACUGUGUGAGAAGGGAGAGGGGAUGUGUGCAUUAUGUGAGAUGUGUACAGAUGUGUACCUUAGAGGGGCAUAUGUGACUGUAUUCUAUAAAAUGUGAGGUGUCUUUGAUUUGAUUUGAACCAGGCUUCCAGGAAGAAAAUAAAACUCGGGUACUUUGAUAAUUCUAACCUCUGCAUAGAUCCAGAGGUUCGCAAAAAGCUUCACAGAAGGUCAGUGUCUUAGUUAGGGCUUUAUUACUGUGAACAGAUGCCAUGACCAGAGCAACUCUUAUGAAGGGAAGCAUUAGAUUGGGGCUGCUUACAGCCUCAGAGGGUGAGUCCAUUAUUGUCAUGGAGGGGAGCAUGGCAGCAUGCAGGCAGACAUGGUGCUGGAGAAGGAGCCGAGAGUUCUGUAUCUGGAUUGGCUGGCAGCAGAAGAGGAGAGGGUGAUACUAGGUUUGGCUUGGGCUUCUGAAACCUCAAAGCCCACCCCCUGUGACACACUUUAACAAGGCUAUAGUCAUCUAGCAAGGUAAUAUGUUAUACAGUGAUACUCCCUAUGAGUCUAUGAGAGCCAUUUUCAUUCAAGCCACCACAUUCCACUCCCUGGCCCCAUAGGCUUAUGUCCAACUCAUAAUGUAAAAUACAUUUAGUCCAACUUCAAAAGUCCCCGUAGUCUAUCAUAGUCUCAGCAAUGAUUAAAAGUCCAAAGUCUCUUAACUGUAACCCUUGUAAGUUAAAAAUAAAAAGUAGACCAUGUACCUCCAAUAUACAAUGGCAUAUAAUCUACCGUUCCCACCAACGAGAGCAUGGUGAGGGAACACUGGACCAAAGAAAGG
rnacentral:lncRNA from 1 species